UUGCAGUUUUCGCCCAGUAUCUAUUGCUGCGACAGAAUCGUAGGUGAACAUACUUGCUAUUAAUUUUUGCCGUCUCAACCUCAAUCUUCACCAAUGGGCUAAAAACACUCACUUCACUACAAGCUACUGCUUCCGUUUCAUUCAUGCGAUAUGCAUGUUGUCCGGAGAAUACUGAUUUGAUCACGAUGAACCUUUCAAGCUGAUGUGCCAUAAUGGUCGCUGAAGCUUUCUUAAACCUGCUUAAAUGGAAAUAUUGCUUGUGG
rnacentral:misc_RNA from 1 species